AUGGCUGGGACGGACAGCGGGAACCUGAAGACGGUGAGGCUGUGGCGGGACGCAGCCCUGCGCGCCAGGAAGCUGCGGAGCAACCUGCGGCAGCUCAGCCUCAGCGCGGCCGGGGGCUGCCCGGGGACCGACCAGCUCGACUCUCCCGACGCGCCCCAGCUUGUGCUGCCGGCCAACAUCGGGGACAUUGAGGUGCUGAACCUGGGGAACAACGGCCUGGAGGAGGUGCCCGACGGGCUGGGCUCGGCGCUGGGCAGCCUCCGCGUCCUGGUCCUGCGCCGUAACCGCUUCGCCCGGCUGCCCCCAGCGGUGGCCGAGCUGGGCCAUCACCUAACCGAGCUGGACGUGAGCCACAACCGGCUGAGCGUCCUAAGCGCCGAGGUGGUGAGCGCCCUGCGCGAGCUGAGGAAGCUCAACCUCAGCCACAACCAGCUGCCCGCCCUGCCCGCCCAGCUGGGUGCGCUGGUCCACCUGGAGGAGCUAGACGUCAGCUUUAACCGCCUGGCGCACCUGCCCGACUCCCUCUCCUGCCUCUCCCGCCUGCGCACCCUCGACGUGGACCACAACCAGCUCACGGCUUUUCCGUGGCAGCUGCUGCAGCUGGCGGCCCUGGAGGAGCUCGACGUGUCCAGCAACCGGCUGCGGGGCCUACCUGAGGAUAUCAGUGCCCUGCGUGCCCUCAAGAUCCUCUGGCUGAGCGGGACCGAGCUUGGCACCCUGCCCAGCGGCUUCUGCGAGCUGGCCAGCCUGGAGAGCCUCAUGCUGGACAACAACGGGCUGCAGGCUUUACCCGCCCAGUUCAGCCGCCUGCAGCGACUCAAGAUGCUCAACCUCUCUUCCAACCUCUUGGAGGAGUUCCCUGCCGCGCUGCUGCCCCUGGCUGGUCUGGAGGAGCUCUACCUUAGUCGCAACCAGCUCACUUCCGUGCCAUCCCUGAUCUCGGGCCUGGGCCGUCUUCUCACCCUGUGGCUGGAUAAUAACCGGCUCCGCUAUCUGCCUGACUCCAUCGUGGAGCUCACGGGCCUGGAGGAGCUGGUCCUGCAGGGGAACCAGAUCGCUGUGCUGCCAGACAACUUUGGCCGGCUCUCCCGGGUGGGCCUGUGGAAGAUCAGGGACAACCCGCUGAUCCAGCCCCCCUACGAGGUCUGUAUGAAGGGGAUCCCCUACAUCGCAGCUUACCAGAAGGAGCUGGCUCAUUCCCAGCCGGCGGUCCAGCCCCGCCUCAAGCUGCUCCUGAUGGGCCAUAAAGCUGCAGGAAAGACCCUGCUCCGUCGCUGCCUCACAGAGGACAGAGUGGAGGGGAACCAAGGAGGAGGGGACAAGGAGAAGAGCCACCCGCCUUCACCUCCUCCCGUGAGCAAGGGCAUCGAGGUGACCAGCUGGACAGCGGAUGCCUCCCGGGGCCUGCGGUUCAUCGUGUAUGACUUAGCCGGGGAUGACAGUUAUGAGGUGAUUCAGCCCUUCUUCCUCUCCCCGGGGGCCCUUUAUGUGCUGGUGGUGAACUUGGCCACCUAUGAGCCGCUCCGCUUUCCCACCACCGUGGGCUCCUUCCUGCAUCGGGUAGGGGCCCGGGUGCCUCACGCCGUGGUGUGCCUUGUGGGCACGCACGCCGACCUCUGCGGGGAGCAGGAGCUGGAGGAGAAGUGUCUGGACAUCCACCGCCAGAUCGCCCUGCAGGAGAAGCAUGACGCUGAGGGGCUGAGCCGGCUGGCCCAGGUGGUGGAUGAGGCACUGGCCCGGGACUUUGAGCUCCGCUCCGCCAGCCCCCAUGCAGCCUACUACGGUGUGUCCGACAAGAACCUUCGGCGGCGCAAGGCCCACUUUCAGUACCUGCUCAACCACCGGCUGCAGAUCCUCUCCCCUGUGCUGCCCGUGAGCUGCAGGGACCCACGCCAUAUACAGCGCCUGCGGGACAAACUGCUCUCAGUGGCCGAGCACCGGGAAAUCUUCCCCAACCUCCACAGAGUACUGCCUCGGUCCUGGCAGGUGCUGGAGGAGCUGCACUUCCAGCCCCCUCAGGCGCAGCGGCUCUGGCUCAGCUGGUGGGACUCGGCUCGCCUGGGCCUGCAGGCCGGCCUGACCGAGGACCGGCUGCAGAGCGCCCUCUCCUACCUGCACGAGAGCGGCAAGCUGCUCUACUUUGAGGACAGCCCGGCCCUCAAGGAGCACGUCUUCCACAACCUCUCCCGCCUCAUCGACAUCCUCAACGUCUUCUUCCAGAGGGAUCCUUCCUUGCUGCUGCAUAAGCUGCUCCUGGGGACCAGCGGCGAGGGCGAGGCUGAGAGCCGGGGUGGAAGCUCCCCGCUGAUGGCGCCGCCCGCCCCAAGCCAGGAUGCGCUCCGGGCCACCCAGCUCCAUCAUUACGUGGAAGGCUUUCUGCUGCAUGGGCUCCUGCCGGCCCACGUCAUCCGGCUGCUGCUGAAGCCUCACAUCCAGGCUCAGCAGGACCUGCAGCUCCUGCUGGAGCUGCUGGAGAAGAUGGGACUCUGUUACUGCCUCAACAAAGCCAAGGGCAAGCCUCUGAAUGGGUCCACGGCCUGGUACAAGUUCCCGUGCUAUGUGCAGAACGAGGUGCCCCACGCGGAGGCCUGGAUUAACGGGACCAACCUGGCCGGGCAGUCCUUUGUGGCUGAGCAGUUGCAGAUUGAAUAUAGUUUUCCCUUCACCUUUCCACCCAGCUUGUUUGCACGCUACAGCGUCCAGAUCAACAGCCAUGUGGUGCACAGGUCGGAUGGCAAACUUCAGAUCUUUGCAUACAGAGGGAAAGUCCCUGUGGUGGUGAGUUACAGACCUGCCAAGGGGGUCCUGCAGCCGGACACCCUGUCCAUUGCCAGCCACGCAUCCUUACCGAACAUAUGGACGGCAUGGCAAGCCAUAACCCCCUUAGUAGAGGAACUGAAUGUCCUACUUCAGGAAUGGCCUGGACUGCACUACACUGUGCACAUUCUUUGUUCUAAGUGCCUUAAGAGAGGGUCACCCAAUCCACACGCUUUCCCAGGAAAGAUUUCAUAUGGACAUGAGAAGUGUAUGCCUGUCUGCAGCGAGGUGAACAUUCCUGGACUAUCCUCCUUGCUGAACAAGGGUUGGGAGUUGCUGAGUCAGCCCAGACCAGAAGGCGUGGCAGAGAUCAUUUGCCCCAAGAAUGGCAGCGAGCGAGUGAAUGUUGCCUUGGUUUACCCACCCACACCGACUGUGAUCAGCCCAUGUUCCAAGUAUCUCCAUACUUUCUUGGACAAUUAAGUGGAAAAGAUAGUCUUCUUUCCCUUAUGCCAUCAUUUUUACUGUACCCAAUCUGUGACUUUAGGAGCACCAAUUUUUAAGGGUGCCCUUGAUUACGUAUCCUUGUGUUUCUCAGUCUUACUAGCGGCUCAGGGGAGCAGACAGCCAGACACAGCUGCCUGCAUUUCUCAAGGAAGAACGUUGGUGAAAAGCACAGAAACCAGUGACUUUUAUGGCUGUGGAAUUUCCAUGGAGAAAAGAGCAUCAGAACGCACCUGGACCAUCUUUUGUCCCCGGCAAACCCUCCACACUCCCUGGCGUGUUCUGUGAAUUUGAGUGCAUGUGUGUUCAGGGUGCUUUCAGGGAGGAAGCACACCUAGCCUCUAGACAAGGUGGGGAGAGGCAGGGCGGGGCGGGGGGGGGGAGGAUGAGAGAGACUGUGGAGCAAAUGUUUUACAACCUGAACCUCAGAACUGUGAUCCUCCAAGGAGAGCGCUACUUGAAGAAAAAAAAAAAAAAGUCGAAUGGCUUCUCAGGGAUUUUAUUUUCCGUGCACAUAUAAGCCAUAAUUCCAGUACAGGUGGCAGUAUUUAGAGCACUCAGAUUUCAGUUCUGUUAAAUGUGAAAGAGAGAUCGACUGACCAUUCAUUGCUGUUCUGUAACUAGUGUAAAAUAUGUAUAUGUUUAUCUUUAUUUUUAUAAUAUGCAAAUACAUUUAAAUUUAUACAGUUUGAAGCUUCUAGAGUUAGUUCACACUGGGUGCAAUAUUCUGAUGAGAACUGUGCCAAGAUGGGGCUGAUUUCUUAUUUUAGUAUAGGACCUUUUGUUUAUUCUUUAAUUCUUUGCAGAUUAAAAAAAAGAUACCUAUCUCUCUGCCCAUGGAUUAAGGGUUGGUUCAUAGAGUCUGACGAUAAUCAGCAAGAACUUUGAACAUGCAUUUCAGGUCAGGCGGUGUCCGUCCUUUUAAAUAAAGGUCCCUGCCUGUAAACUGUUGGGCAGGGUAGGAGGAUUUUUCCUUUUCUUUGCCCCCACAUAUCACUAGUGUUGGGCAGAGUCUUCCUUGCUCCGGGCUUUGUGAUGACUGUGAGUUGUUACUGGGUGAUAGUCUGACAGAGGCCUGGGGAUUAAGAUUCUUCAGGGGACAGGGAUCAAGGGAUCCACAAAUCCAAGGAAAAGCAGAGUUUUGCAAUAGCUUCAGAUAAUCAGGAGUCAGUUCUGGAGCAUGUAAAGAGCUCUGCUAAUAAGUCCUUUCUUUUCUGCCCCCAGAAAAGAGUCUGUGAAAUUUAGUAGAGCACUCUGAAGGCCUCCACAUCUGGUGUAAGACCGAAAGCUAGCGAGUUGCCUAACUGGAGAGCAUAAGCCCACAUUGGUUAUUUUAUAAAUACAGAGCCUCUGAUUGGAUGGUCUACUGCCAAGAACUAGUAAAACCCUGGUUUUAAAAUCUCUGCGAGGUAAAACUUAAAAAGCCAACCAACCAAACUGCUCUCUCUUCUCCUCACCGGGGCCAAACAGCAUCCGCUGCAAUAGUAACAACAUUCUUUGAAGAGUGUGCCUGACUCUGUUUACAUCUGCCUCCUCUGCGUGUUGACUGAAAAUGUGUAAAACUGUUUCUCACCCCUGUAAGGCAAGAAAAAUGAGUCAGCUGGUAUUAUUCUUUUACUUCUUCUAUAAAGUAGUGACUCUUGGAAUGCCACAGUAUACGACGUCCCCACUUAUUUUUGAAAGAAGUAACAAGCAAGUGGCUGCAUUGUGAAAAAUCGCAAAUAAUUUUUGUAGAUUAUUUUGUGCCCCAGGAGGUAACUUUAUUAACUCCAGAACCUCAGUGAAACAAGUAUGACUUCUUAUAAUCAUAAAAUCAAAUGGGAUCAGACUAGUUCUGCAUUUUAAUACUUGAAUAUGACACCUCAAAUUUGCAUUUUCUUUUGGAACAGUCACGAGAUUCACCUUCUUAAUCCUUUUGUCACAGUUCUCCUGUGCGUGUGUGUGUGUGUGUAAGUGUAAACUGAAUGGUAACAUUUAAUUGCUUUAUGGACCAUUGAAUUGUUGGGCAUAAAUGUUUUUUCAAUCGGCACAAACAAUUCCUGAACUGUCAAAUUAACCGACUUUGACCAGGAAAAGUCUUGUAAAUGACUUCAGGCUAACUCCCCAGGGGACCAUAUUAAAUGAAAAUAAAAAAGCUCCUUUGGGUGACAUACCCUGCAAAGUAUGUGCUCUUGUCAUGAACAUAGAUGCCCACAUUCUUAAUAUCUGCUAUUUUUGGACAAGUGAUGUUUUGUGCUGUCAUCUGAACCCUAGAGAAGCAGUAUAAGAAGAAAGUUUGGUGUCACAUAUAUUUUAGCAAAAAGGUCAUCAUGAUAGAGGGUCAUGUGACCAAAAGCAGCUCCAGAAAAGCUUGAGAACUUGCUUCACGGUUGGGGGAGGGUCGGAGAUACAGAAAACAUUCUGCUCUAUAGGAAUUUUCUUCAUUUAUGCAGGAAAUUCCAUUUUCUCUUUCAACACCUGGGAAGACUCAGCCGGGGAGGCUGACAGGCAAUUCGUAAGCACAAGGGGAAUCUUUUCCAACCAAGACGUCCCUGCCUCGCAAACAAAAGCCCUCCAAGUUUGUUAUGGUUUCUAUUCCUGCAUCUUGUGGUAUCAAAACCACUUCCUGGAAUUGUAAAAGUGCUGCCAGAAUAAAUGUUUUUCCCUCUUGCAAGAAAAAACGACAGUGCUUGUAUUUCACACUUGUGCACUGGACUCUUGAAUGAAUAAAAUGGAAAGGGUUUGGUGUCAUUCCUGAUGAGGUGUGUGUUCUCUUUCAUGCCACAGUUUGUGAAUUGUAAUUGUGGUUUCCUAUUUAAUUGUCAUAACCAGGCAGAAAUUUAAAAAAAAAAAAAAAGUUUAAUAAAAACACAAAGAAAUGGUUAAGCA